rnacentral:rRNA from 1 species
CAAUAGCGUAUAUUAAAGUUGUUGCGGUUAAAAGCUCGUAGUUGGAUUUCUGCCGAGGACGACCGGUCCGCCCUCUGGGUGAGUAUCUGGUUCGGCCUGGGCAUCUUCUUGGAGAACGUAUCUGCACUUGACUGUGUGGUGCGGUAUCCAGGACUUUUACUUUGAGGAAAUUAGAGUGUUUCAAGCAGGCACACGCCUUGAAUACAUUAGCAUGGAAUAAUAAGAUAGGACCUUGGUUCUAUUUUGUUGGUUUCUAGAGCUGAGGUAAUGAUUAAUAGGGAUAGUUGGGGGUAUUCAUAUUCAAUUGUCAGAGGUGAAAUUCUUGGAUUUAUGGAAGAUGAACUACUGCGAAAGCAUUUACCAAGGAUGUUUUCAUUAAUCAAGAACGAAAGUUAGGGGAUCGAAGACGAUCAGAUACCGU